rnacentral:rRNA from 1 species
AGCCCGGAGAUGGGUUGUGAGACACGAAUCCGGACCUUACGGGGUGCGGCAGGCGCGAAAACCGGCAAUGCGAGAAAUCGUGACCAGGGAACUCCAAGUGCUUGGGUAACACCGGUGCCUUUCUUGACUGGAUGUAGGUCUGGCAUAAGGGGUUGGUCAGGACGGUCCAGCCGCCGCG